rnacentral:rRNA from 1 species
UGGGGAAUAUUGUGCAAUGGGCGAAAGCCUGACCCAGCAACGCCGCGUGAGGGAAGAAGGUUUUCGGAUUGCAAACCUCUGUCCUUGGGGACGAAGAAAGUGACGGUACCCAAGGAGGAAGCCCCGGCUAACUACGUGCCAGCAGCCGCGGUAAUACGUAGGGGGCGAGCGUUGUCCGGAAUGACUGGGCGUAAAGGGUGCGUAGGUGGUUUCUUAAGUCAGGAGUGAAAGGCUACGGCUCAACCGUAGUAAGCUCUUGAAACUGGGAAACUUGAGUGCAGGAGAGGAAAGUGGAAUUCCUAGUGUAGCGGUGAAAUGCGUAGAUAUUAGGAGGAACACCAGUAGCGAAGGCGGCUUUCUGGACUGUAACUGACACUGAGGCACGAAAGCGUGGGGAGCAAACA